UUAAUGUACUUGCUUAGCAAGUUAUUUACUUAAAGGUCCUAUUACAUGUUGCUUUUGGGAUGCUUUUAUAUAGGCCUUAGUGGUCCCCUAAUACUGUAUCUGAAGUCUCUUUUAUAUAGACCUUAGUGGUCCCCUAAUACUGUAUCUGAU